GUCCACGCCGUAAACUAUGGAUACUAGCUGUUGGAGGUAUCGACCCCUUCAGUAGCGAAGCUAACGCGUUAAGUAUCCCGCCUGUGGAGUACGGUCGCAAGACUAAAACAUAAAGGAAUUGACGGGGACCCGCACAAGCGGUGGAGCGUGUUCUUUAAUUCGAUGAUAAACGAAGAACCUUACCAGGGUUUGACAUCCUUGGAAUUUCUGUGAAAGCAGAAAGUGCUUUAUUGAGCCAAGUGACAGGUGAUGCAUGGCCGUCGU
rnacentral:rRNA from 1 species